GGAUAGCUCAGUUGGUUAGAGUGUGGUGCUAAUGCCAAGGUUGCAGGUUCGAUCCCCGUAUGGGACA